UUUAUUGUGUUUUUACAUUUUAUUUGUUUAGAUGUAUUUUUGUACUUUUGUACAGAAGUGUCAAAUUAGUUAAAUGAUUAUUGUCAUUAUGUUGUCUUGUUAAGCUUGUUAUUAUUGUUUUUAUUGUUUUUGUACAGAGGAUAACAGAACAGAUAAUAUCAUAUAACGACUUUAAAAUGCAUACUGCCAACUCAUUAUAAACUUUGCAUAUUAUGCUUAGCAAAGAAUUUUGAUACAAACCUCUCUCUAAAAGUCAAGUAUAAGAGAAGAUGCAAUAAGUGUACAGUGGUCUGAGUUUUAAUUUGAAUUUAUGAAUUUUACUUGGGAUUUUUUUUUUCUCAGUGAUAUAUUGAAAAAGGGUCCUAAAGUAGCCAUGAUUUCAUAAUUAAAGUAUUUCUUAUGUCAAGAGAAGUAACAUUUUAGUUUGUAAAUGAAAGGAACUACGUUUUAACAUCUUUUGAGCUUAAUUUGAAAAUAUCUUGCAUGUACAAUCUCGAGAAUUUAAAGAUUUGUCAACUGAGCAAAUUUGCCUUACAAAUUAAAUAAAAAAAUCUGUCUCAUAUUUUGUCAAUGAAAAUAUCAGUAAAUAUUCAUAUUAUUUGAAGAAAACAACAUUUGAACUUAAACCUCAUCUGUCAAGGAUUUUAAUUCUCAAAAUUUUAUAGGCGAAACAUUACACUUAAUGCAUCUUUUCUAUGUAUCUUGUUUUCUGUUCAAACAUUCCAGCUAAUCGUACACUAACAUGUAAAUAUAUAUACAUAUUGUGUAUAAUUGUCUGCCUAAACAUAUGUAGUAUAAGUCUAUAGUAGAAACUAGUCAGUGUGUAUCAGUAUUAUAAUGUUGUAAUGAGAGACUUUGUAUGUGCUAGGACUAUGCUUUGUAGUUAUUUUAGCAUUUAAUUUUUUAAAUAUUGCAUUAAAAUUUGCAUGCAGUUUAAUAAGGAGUAAAAUUUCAGUGUAUGAAAAUGUAACACAAAUUCCUAUUAAUCUAUAGCUAUGUUUUGGGGCAAAAAUAUGUAUACAGUACCUUGCUUUUUUAUAUAUAUAUUUCUGUAUAAAUGACGAAUUGCUGUAAAUUCUUUGCUUCAGAUGCUCAUCAUAACACAAUGCUAUUUUCAGUAGGAUUAGAUGAAAAAUUAUAAAAAAUAAGGUAUACAUAUUUGCACUUUUUUUUAGAAUUAAGAAUAUUUUAGUUCAUAGGGAAAAUAUGUAAUCAGUUCUUCAGUAUUGAAUUUGCUUUUAAUAUACAUGCAUAAUAUUUUAUAAACAACACCAGUGCUUAUGCUUCUAGGAGAUUAUUUACUAGCUGAUUUUUGUUUUUAGAUAUAACUAAAUUAGCUCAAAAGCAAAAUGUAUAUUUUUUUUUAAAAAGUCUUUCAAAUUAACUUUCCUUCAAAGUCUGGUUUUACAGUAUUCCUAAUCAAGUGAAGUUCACAGAAUAUUUAUGUGUCUUGUCAAGUUUUAUUUUAAUCUUGCUGUGAUCACACUAGUUUUAAUGUUUCACAUAUCAGUAUUUGUUUUGCUCAGAUUUUCCACUGAAUUAAGCCAGCUCUCAGCUUGUCACAUUAUAUGUAUGUCACUAGAAAUGUUCACUGAUAAUCAAAGGCCUAUUUUUUCUGGUACAAAUUGUUUUUGAAGAUUUGCCUUUUUAAUUUACAUAAUUUUUGCUUAUCGUUGGUGGAGGAUAAUAUAACAGUGUGUUCUUCACUCGUUAACUAGCAAGUUUGAAUGGGUAGCUCUAAAAUAUAAAACUUUAAGCUACACCUAUAGUGUUUAUGUCAUAAAAUCAUCAUUUUAUUUUAGAAAAAUUACAUAACUAAAAUGUCUACAAAAUAAAUAAUUAUCAUUGACCGUUGCACACUGCUUCUUAUGUAUGCAUACUUUCAUGCCAGAAAUUAUGUGACACUAGUGUAGUUAAAAAAUAUAUAUUUAAUUAUAAACUUUAAAUGCACUUCAUAUUUUUCCAUUUUCUAUUCUUGUAUAAAAUUUUAUUAAUUUUUUACUCUUCUUACAAACUAGAAAUUACAGGCAUUUUUGAAAUAUAUAUUGGUUCAUUGAGCUUUGCUUUGGUAGAAAAUAUUUUUAGGAAGCUUUUACUAAAUAAAGUUUUUUAGAUUAUGAUAUUAUGGAUUCUGUCCCUUGUCUAUCUCUAGAUUUGGACACAAAUUUAUACAAAUCACAUAUUGAGAAAAAUAUGGUUGUUAUUUAUUUGCAAUAAAUAGAACUUUUCUUAAAGAGAAUAAUAUUAAUCUUGUAGCUGAUAGAUGCUUUAAAUCUUUAUGAAUUUGGAAAUAAAUAUCUUGACAUACUUUUCAAAUAAAAUAACCAGUAUUAUAUAUACAGUCAUUUUUUAAAUUGAGAAUUUUGGUAUGAAUAUAUAUAAAAAAAAAAAUAAUUCAAACGCAAAUAACAACUGUCAUUAUAAACUAAUUGUUUAGACAUUCAAGAGUUACUGUAUGAAAGUAGACAAUGGCAUUGAAAGUUUGGUAUAAAAACAAGUUAAUGAAAUUAUCCAUAUUUCAAUUAUUUUAUAAUUUAAAAGAACUUUGGCAAACAUUUACAAGAGAAAAGGUAGUGUAUACAGCAUAUAUAGUUACCAUGAAAAAGAUCAAGUGAAACAAAUAGGUACAUUGUUAUGAAAUUGUGAUA
rnacentral:lncRNA from 1 species